rnacentral:lncRNA from 1 species
CGGAAAACCUUCGGACUGUACCUGGUGGAGAACAAGCUUGGCGGGUGUAGCUGGGGUGAAGCAUGGCCACACAGCUUUUGGGGUCCGUCGCUAUGCGGUGGAGACACUUUGGUGAGCAUUUUCUGUGGAUAAAGGCUGCAAGCCGGUGGUUGUGCCAGCUAGUUGGGCGUGCACACAUCUAGAUUUCAGCAAGCGGGCAGCUGAAAGCGGUGGCGUCGAAUGUGCUGUUUUUCCUCCAGCUGCUAGGCAGAAGCUAGCUGGUUAGUGGUGAAUGAUCAUGCAGCUGCUGUGCAAAUUGCUGCCGGGAGCAGCAAUACCCACAGAGAGGUCUGCGGAAGAUUUAAACUCUCCAGCAGUGCCUGUAGAUACUAGAACUCCUGAAACUGGACUUUACAGAUGGCUGUGAACUUCCUUAUGGAUGCUGUGAACACAACCUGGGCUGGGCUGGCUGGUCAAAGGUGAAGUCUCAUGGCCUGGCAACAACAUGGAAACUUCCUCCCUCUCCAGAAAAUCUUCCUGCUUCUACCUGCUGUUGUCUGGAGAAUGUCCUUGAGUCUGGAGGACAGACCUUAUCUGAAAGUUGUCUCUGACCCAGAUCCCUGAUUUAUCCUUAACUGGAAACCUGGCACGGAUUUCUGUUAGAAGACUUGUACUAGGAGCUCUGCUAUAGGUUUCUGAUAUCAGCCUACCACUUGUUGCAAAUGAAGUCUUGUCCUUAGGCUCCUCAGUCCUAUAUAUUCCUUAUGUUAUAGAAUAAAGUUGAGA